UAGUCCACGCCGUAAACGAUGAUUACUCGCUGUAGGCGAUACACAGUCUGUGGCUAAGCGAAAGUUUUAAGUAAUCCACCUGGGGAGUACGAUCGCAAGAUUGAAACUCAAAGGAAUUGACGGGGGCCCGCACAAGCGGAGGAACAUGUGGUUUAAUUCGAUGGUACGCGAGGAACCUUACCUGGACUUAAAUGUACGUUGCAUGGAUCAGAGAUGGUCCUUUCUUCGGACUACUUACAAGGUGCUGCAUGGUUGUCGUCAGCUCGUGCCGUGAGGUGUCAGGUUAAGUCCUAUAACGAGCGCAACCCCUACCGUUAGUUGCCAGCAUGUUAUGAUGGGGACUCUAGCGGGACUGCCGGUGCAAACCGAGAGGAAGGUGGGGAUGACGUCAAAUCAUCACGGCCCUUACGUCCUGGGCUACACACGUGCUACAAUGGUAACGACAGAGGGCAGCCACCACGCGAGUGGGAGCGAAUCCUUAAACGUUAUCUCAGUUCGGAUCGGAGUCUGCAA
rnacentral:rRNA from 1 species